rnacentral:rRNA from 1 species
CAGCCGCCACGGUAAUACGUAGGGUGCAAGCGUUAAUCGGAAUUACUGGGCGUAAAGCGUGCGCAGGCGGUUAUAUAAGUCAGAUGUGAAAUCCCCGGGCUCAACCUGGGAACUGCAUUUGAGACUGUAUGGCUAGAGUGUGUCAGAAGGGGGUAGAAUUCCACGUGUAGCAGUGAAAUGCGUAGAUAUGUGGAGGAAUACCGAUGGCGAAGGCAGCCCCCUGGGAUAACACUGACGCUCAUGCACGAAAGCGUGGGGAGCAAACAGGAUUAGAUACCCCUGUAGUCCCUGUCUCUUAUAC